rnacentral:lncRNA from 1 species
CCAGCCCUAAAUAAUGGAGUUUCAAAUACUCUCCAUUGGCUAAUAAUUCAAAGAUAACACCUGCAAAGUGGAAAAAUGAGAGCAGGUUCAUUAAGUCCUUGGUAAAACUUUGAAUAUUGGCCUCAAUGAUGUUAUUGGUGACAUCAAAAGAAAUGAUUUUCUGCCUAUAAAUAGAGCUCUUCAGCUCACUAAUUAGACACACCAACAAAGAGUGAAAGAAAAAUAGGGUGACGCAUCACAAAGAGUUCAAUCUGUGAGGGAAAAGUAGAGAAUAUGAGCGAUAUUAUAGUGGGGUGAAAAAAUCAAAAGAGAGAUAUUUCUCCUGAGUGUGUAGUAGUCACAUUAAGUAUUGUACUUGUGAUUACGAUGUAAAAUUUUUUACUAUAGUGAUAUCAGUUGCUCCUCUUGGCCUGUGAUUUUUUCCUUAUUGGGUUUCCACGUAAAAAUCUUGCUAUCAUUAUCGCUCUUGUUGUUCUUGUUGACUAACCGUAUUACCAUUGUUAUAAUUACUGCCUUUUAUUACCGCAAUAUUAUUAUCGUGGCAGAGUUUAUUUCCAACAACUGAUAUCAGAGAACGGAUUCUGCUCAUUGACGAAAAUAAUAUUUGUGAUUGGUGGUACUAUACUUGGUAAAAAUAAAAUGUCCGGAGUAAAGUACGAGGUAACAAAAUUCAACGGUG